rnacentral:rRNA from 1 species
AGCGAACGCUGGCGGCGUGCUUAACACAUGCAAGUCGAACGGUAAGGCCCUUCGGGGUACGCGAGUGGCGAACGGGUGAGUAACACGUGGGUGAUCUGCCCUGCACUUCGGGAUAAGCCUGGGAAACUGGGUCUAAUACCGGAUAGGACUCCUGGCUUCAUGGUUGGGGGUGGAAAGCUUUUGCGGUGUGGGAUGGGCCCGCGGCCUAUCAGCUUGUUGGUGGGGUAAUGGCCUACCAAGGCGACGACGGGUAGACGGCCUGAGAGGGUGACCGGUAACACUGGGACUGAGAUACGGCCCAGACUCCUGCGGGAGGCAGCAGUGGGGAAUAUUGCACAAUGGGCGCAAGCCUGAUGCAGCGACGCCGCGGGAGGGAUGACGGCCUUCGGGUUGUAAACCUCUUUCAGCUAUGACGAAGCGCAAGUGACGGUAUGUGCAGAAGAAGGACCGGCCAACUACGUGCCAGCCGCCGCCGUAA